AGGAGCCUGGUUGUAGGUGAUGGGAUCUUGAGGAUGGAUUUCCCCCUUGCUGUUCUCAUGAUAAUGAAAGCGUUCUCAGGAAAUCUAACGGUUUAAAAGUGUGUGGCACUUCCCUUUUGCUCACUCUCUCUUCCUCCUGCUCUACCAUGUGAAGAUUGUGCCUGCUUCUCUUUCAUCUUCUGCCAUGACGCAUGAACUCCUCUGGAGAAAGCAAGUUCUCAUUCGUGUCGUUAUCUAUCUUCCAUUGGUUACAAGAUAAUGAGAAUCGAAAAUCAUAAUCUAAUUUCUCAUAGUAUAGAACACAACCUUGAAUAAAAUAGACAUCCAUUAUUUGGAAGUGCAUUGCCAUGAGGUACUGAGCCAAGCCCAUGUACCUUAUUUGCACAGGCUUCUCUCAAAGUUCAGGAAGAAGCCAGGUGCGGUGGCUCACGCCUGUAAUCCCUGAACUAUGGGAGGCCGAGUCGG